rnacentral:rRNA from 1 species
UAAUCCAAGGAGUUGCGAACGGGUGAGUAACGCGUAGGUAACCUACCUCAUAGCGGGGGAUAACUAUUGGAAACGAUAGCUAAUACCGCAUGACACUAGAGUACACAUGUACUCAAGUUAAAAGGAGCAAUUGCUUCACUAUGAGAUGGACCUGCGUUGUAUUAGCUAGUUGGUGAGGUAAAGGCUCACCAAGGCGACGAUACAUAGCCGACCUGAGAGGGUGAUCGGCCACACUGGGACUGAGACACGGCCCAGACUCCUACGGGAGGCAGCAGUAGGGAAUCUUCGGCAAUGGACGGAAGUCUGACCGAGCAACGCCGCGUGAGUGAAGAAGGUUUUCGGAUCGUAAAGCUCUGUUGUUAGAGAAGAACGGUAAUGGGAGUGGAAAAUCCAUUACGUGACGGUAACUAACCAGAAAGGGACGGCUAACUACGUGCCAGCAGCCGCGGUAAUACGUAGGUCUCGAGCGUUGUCCGGAUUUAUUGGGCGUAAAGCGAGCG